UACGAAGGGGGCGAGCGUUGUUCGGAAUUACUGGGCGUAAAGGGCGCGCAGGCGGCUAUCCAAGUCAGGCGUGAAAGCCCCGGGCUUAACCUGGGAGGUGCGUCUGGGACUGGGUGGCUAGAGUUCGGGAGAGGAGAGUGGAAUUCCCAGUGUAGAGGUGAAAUUCGUAGAUAUUGGGAAGAACACCGGUGGCGAAGGCGGCUCUCUGGACCGAGACUGACGCUGAGGCGCGAAAGCGUGGGGAGCAAACAGG
rnacentral:rRNA from 1 species